rnacentral:lncRNA from 1 species
ACCACUUACAGCAGGGCUCAGGGCUGGGGAGCUGCUGGAACGGGUGGUCCUCUGCCGCAAGCCCCACUCUGCCUUGCUCCCAUGGCACCAGGAGACCUGGAUACCUACUGGUCUGGCACUGCACCCAUCUGCAUGGGGGGCUGCAAGGGGAAGCAUAAGGAGCUGAAGAGGAGCCAGUGUGGGAAUGGCAGCUGCUGCUGGCUGGGCUACAAGUCCUUCUGCCGAGUGAACUGCGGGCGGCCCGAGGCGGACUUCAACUCAGUGGUGUAUGGCAAUGACUGGUGGGUGGGCUCCGUGGUGCGCUACAGCUGCCGGCCCGGCUUCCUGCUGCUGGGGGACCCGGCCAGCGCCUGCCAGUCCAACGGCCGCUGGACGCCCAAGCCCACCUGCCUCCGGAUCUGCCUGCGAGGCCGGAUCGAGAUCAGCGAGCGGGACAUCAGCGGGAGGUGCUCGUCGUCCUGCAGCACCCAGAGCCACCUGGGAGCCUCCCUGCACCGCGGCUGCAUCAAGAUCUCCUCCUGCAGCACCAAACGCUCGGGCUGGGUGCGCUGGUUCCUGCGCUGUGAUGUCUGCGAGUGCGACUGCCACGUGCCCUGCGGGGAGACCCGGUAGCGGUGCCCGCCUCUGCUUCUUCCUGGUAGAGCCGAGCAUUCUGCGCUGAGGUCUGCUGGCCACGCAUCUCCAGUGCUGGGCUCUUCCUUUCCAUAAUCUCCAUCCAUCCUGAUGCUGUCAUCUGGGAGAAGAGGUUUGGGACUGCCUUCCUGCCUGGCCCCAUCACACAGCGUGCAGGGAAUGCUGUGGGCAGCAGGAGCAGGGCAGCUGCAUUGAGGACUUGGAGACCUCCGUCUCUCAGCCGUUCUUCCUGGCUGCUCCCCGGAGAAGGCUCACAUCCUCUUCUAGCAGGGAGGCAGUGCUGUGCCUGUCCUGCAGGCUGCCGUUUCUCUCUGCCAGCUAUUUCCUGCCCCUGUGUGCAGUCCUGCUGUCCUGCUGCUCCAGCCGUGCGGGCAGGGUGUGGGGGCUGCUGUGCAUGGUGCCUGCAGGCUGGGGCUGCUCCUUCCUGCAGUGUGUGGUUUUGCUCUGAG